AGAGUGUGACAGAGCAUCUCAUGAAAUCAAGAGGCUCAAUCACAAAUUGGAAGAAACAGUCAAGGACUGCAUGAUGAAGUCUCCCAUGAUAACCAACUUUUCUUCAAAAGGCCUCGUUGAAAGCAUCGGAGGAAAGGUUGCUCCAACUGAUAAAGGAAAGAAUAUCAUGAUCGAAGAAGCAGAUGUCACUUCAGAAGAAUCAAGAGAUCAUGAUAUGGAUGAAAUUCGGAAACGCAAGCUGAUGGCAAGAACGAAUGUUCCUCCUCCACAAAGCUACAGACGAGCCAAGGAGGCCCCCAACCAGUUCAUCCUACUGAGAAGACUGGAAAGCAGAUUUCAGUCAAAGAUUGGGCAAGGAACAUCAGGACUCAAGAAGAAUCUUCCUCACCAGUCCAGGGGGAAGAACAAC
rnacentral:lncRNA from 1 species